GGACACGGGAGGGGCGGUGGAGGAGGACUUCGUGUUGCGCGAGAUCGAUGUGUACUUCAACCCCAAGCCGUUCGAAGACGACACCCAGCUGUACAUUAUGCAGUACUCCCUGAGGCCAUGUUGGUGCCCAUAUGAGUUAAAUGAGAUAUGUGAAGAGGUUCGUGUGAAGCCAUUGAGUUCAGAAGUUGAAGUUGAUUUGAGUAUCAAUACACAGAGUGAAAAUUAUGACCAAGAGGCACCUUUGAGGCUGACAAAACAGACACUAUCAUCAUCCAAGGCAGUUGAUGUUACUAAUUACGCAGUUGGAGUUCUUAAAGGCAACUUGGUCCAUUUGAAUCUUAUUGAUGCAGUGGUGCAAAUGUGACCAUCAAUGUCACAUGUUAUUUCUGGCCGAGCACAUACUAGGCAGGCUUCACAACCCCGGGAAAUGAAUGGGGGAAUAACAACCCAUUGAUGAGGGUGUUCACUGGGCAGUGCAAAAUGGUCUCCAUCUAUCAAGAAGCACUGUGGUGUACUUCAAGCACAAUGAUAUGGCUUCACUUGCAAGCACUUUGGAAAACUUACUCGUGGAAAUAAACGUGCUGAAAAGAUUAGACGCUACAUUGUUGUAGAAUCCAUUUACCAGAAUUCUGGCCAAAUUGCCCCCUUGGAUGAGAUUGUCAGGUUGAAGGAGAAAUAUCGAUUUCGUGUUAUUCUGGAGGAGAAUCAUUCUUUUGGGGUGCUUGGCAAGUCUGGGCGUGGCCUUGCUGAACAUUAUGGAGUUCCUAUGAGUGUUUGGCCUCAGCUUUUCUUAAUGUUUCACCAUAAUGCCCCACCUGUGGUGUCUGACCAGGGUACACUAUUACCUAACUCCCAAACGAGGCCUAACUGUUUGGUGAAAUGCUUGGGACAAAGUGGCCAGCAAGAAUGGAGUCAUGGAACAUCGGCAGGAGGGGUGCGGCAACGGCAACCGAUGUAUCCCUUGGACAAUCUGGUUUCGACAUGAUGCAAAUCACAAUGUUGUACACUGUAUUCCACACUUGAACAGAUUGUUUGGCUAAUUACAAGAUUAUCUCAGUGUUUUGGUUUGGAUUUAGAGUACACUUAUGUAUGAAAUAUUGAUUGGUACUCAUCUAUAUUAUAUUAAUUAUAUUAUUAUUAAAUA